rnacentral:rRNA from 1 species
CGUGGCCGGACUAGCGGGGUUGUCCCACCUGACCCCAUGGCGAACUCAGAAGUGAAACGCCGUAGCGCCGAUGGUAGUGUGGGGUCUCCCCAUGCGAGAGUAGGGAACUGCCAGGC